UACCAGCACCCCGAGUGGUCGGGACGAUUAUUGGGCCUAAAGCAUCCGUAGCCGGUUUUACAAGUCCUCCGUUAAAUCCAGCUGCUUAACAGAUGGGCUGCGGAGGAUACUAUAAGACUAGGAGGCAGGAGAGGCAAGCGGUACUCAGUGGGUAGGGGUAAAAUCCGUUGAUCCAUUGAAGACCACCAGUGGCGAAGGCGGCUUGCCAGAAUGCGCUCGACGGUGAGGGACGAAGCCCUGGGGCGCAAACCGG
rnacentral:rRNA from 1 species